UAGUCCAUGCCGUAAACGAUGGGUACUAGGUGCUGGAGGAGUCUACCCCUUCAGUGCCGCAGCUAACGCAUUAAGUACCCCACCUGGAGAGUACGAUCGCAAGGUUGAAACUCAAAGGAAUUGACGGGGGCCCGCACAAGCGGUGGAGCAUGUGGUUUAAUUCGACGCAACGCGAAGAACCUUACCUGGGCUUGACAUGCAGGGGACAGGUGUAGAAAUACAUCCUUCUUCAGACUCCUGUACAGGUGCUGCAUGGCUGUCGUCAGCUCGUGUCGUGAAAUGUUAGGUUAAGUCCUGCAACGAGCGCAACCCCUGUCUUUAGUUGCCAUCAGGUUAUGCUGGGGACUCUAGAGAGACUGCCGGGUGACAAACCGGAGGAAGGUGGGGGACGACGUCAAGUCAUCAUGGCCCUUACGCCCAGGGGCUACACACGUGCUACAAUGGUCGGUACAGUGGGGCAGCGAUACAGUGAUGUGGGAGC
rnacentral:rRNA from 1 species